rnacentral:rRNA from 1 species
UACGUAGGGGACAAGCGUUAUCCGGAUUUACUGGGCGUAAAGCGCCCGUAGGCGGCCUGACAAGUUGGACGUGAAAGCUCCUGGCUUAACUGGGGAGAGGCCGUUCAAAACUGUCAAGCUAGAGUCUGGAAGAGGAGAGCGGAAUUCCCGGUGUAGUGGUGGGAAUGCGUAGAGAUCGGGAGGAACACCAGUGGCGAAAGGCGGCUCUCUGGCCAAAACUGACGCUGAGGGGCGAAAGCGUGGGGAGCGAACGGG